CCUACGGGAGGCAGCAGUGAGGAAUAUUGGUCAAUGGGCGCAGGCCUGAACCAGCCAAGUCGCGUGAGGGAAGACUGCCCUAUGGGUUGUAAACCUCUUUUAUAAGGGAAGAAUAAUCACUACGUGUGGUCAGCUGCCCAUACCUUAUGAAUAAGCAUCGGCUAACUCCGUGCCAGCAGCCGCGGUAAUACGGAGGAUGCGAGCGUUAUCCGGAUUUAUUGGGUUUAAGGGGUGCGUAGGCGGGAUUUUAAGUCAGUGGUAAAACGUCGGGGCUUAACCUGGAUUGGCCAUUAAAACUGGAGGACUAGAGUACAGACGAGGUAGGCGGAAUAAGUUAAGUAGCGGUGAAAUGCUUAGAUAUAACUUAGAACCCCGAUAGCGAAGGCAGCUGACCAGACUGUUACUGACGCUGAAGCACGAGAGCGUGGGUAGCGAACAGGAUUAGAUACCCUAGUAGUC
rnacentral:rRNA from 1 species